CCUACGGGCGGCAGCAGUGAGGAAUAUUGGUCAAUGGACGAGAGUCUGAACCAGCCAAGUAGCGUGAAGGAUGACUGCCCUAUGGGUUGUAAACUUCUUUUAUAUGGGAAUAAAAUGUUCCACGUGUGGGAUUUUGUAUGUACCAUAUGAAUAAGGAUCGGCUAACUCUGUGCCAGCAGCCGCGGUAAUACGGAGGAUCCGAGCGUUAUCCGGAUUUAUUGGGUUUAAAGGGAGCGUAGGUGGAUUGUUAAGUCAGUUGUGAAAGUUUGCGGAUCAACCGUAAAAGUGCAGUUGAAACUGGCAGUCUUGAGUACAGUAGAGGUGGGCGGAAUUCGUGGUGUAGCGGUGAAAUGCUUAGAUAUCACGAAGAACUCCGAUUGCGAAGGCAGUUCACUGGACUGCAACUGACACUGAGGCUCGAAAGUGUGGGUAUCAAACAGGAUUAGAUACCCCAGUAGUC
rnacentral:rRNA from 1 species